UACGGAGGGGGCGAGUGUUAUUCGGAAUCAUUGGGCGUAAAGGGCGCGUAGGCGGCCUAGCAAGUCAGGGGUGAAAUCCCGGGGCUCAACCUCGGAACUGCCUUUGAUACUGCAAGUCUAGAGUCCGGAAGAGGUGAGUGGAAUUCCUAGUGUAGAGGUGAAAUUCGUAGAUAUUAGGAAGAACACCAGUGGCGAAGGCGGCUCACUGGUCCGGUACUGACGCUGAGGUGCGAAAGCGUGGGGAGCAAACAGG
rnacentral:rRNA from 1 species